GACGAACGCUGGCGGCGUGCUUAACACAUGCAAGUCGAACGGAAAGGCCCUGCUUUUGUGGGGUGCUCGAGUGGCGAACGGGUGAGUAACACGUGAGUAACCUGCCCUUGACUUUGGGAUAACUUCAGGAAACUGGGGCUAAUACCGGAUAGGAGCUCCUGCUGCAUGGUGGGGGUUGGAAAGUUUCGGCGGUUGGGGAUGGACUCGCGGCUUAUCAGCUUGUUGGUGGGGUAGUGGCUUACCAAGGCUUUGACGGGUAGCCGGCCUGAGAGGGUGACCGGCCACAUGGGAAUGGGGUAACGGCCCAAACUCUAACGGAGGGAAACAGGGGGAAAUAUGGAACAAGGGGGGGAGGCUGAAGGCGGCAAGGCCGGUGGCGGGAGGACGGCCUUCGGUUGUAAAACGGUUUUGGCUGGGAACGAAGCGGAGUGGAGGUUAAGGGUUAAGGAAGCACGGAUAAACUACUG
rnacentral:rRNA from 1 species